UACGUAGGGUCCGAGCGUUGUCCAGAAUUAUUGGGCGUAAAGCGCGCGCAGGCGGCCUUUUAAGUCUGAUGUGAAAGCCCACGGCUCAACCGUGGAAGGUCAUUGGAAACUGAAAGGCUUGAGUACAGAAGAGGAAAGCGGAAUUCCACGUGUAGCGGUGAAAUGCGUAGAGAUGUGGAGGAACACCAGUGGCGAAGGCGGCUUUCUGGUCUGUAACUGACGCUGAGGCGCGAAAGCUAGGGGAGCAAACGGG
rnacentral:rRNA from 1 species